GGGUUUCGUUGAUGAGUGAUUUCAUAACAGGGACGAGAGGGGCGAGUUCGUUGAGAUUGCCGUCGUUGGGAAAGUUUGAGUUCGUGAGGUUGGGGAGAGGGUGAAGGAAGACGAACAUUUGUGUUCUCCGUUUCCAUUUUUUUUGUUUUUUUUCCUUUUUUAAUUUUUUUUUAUUUAAUUUAAUUUGUUUUUAACACAAAAACCAUAAAAAAUGUUUAAUUUGUUUUUUUAUUUUAACUCUUUUUAUUUUUAUCCCGGUUUAUAUAUUCAACGUAGCAGCACAGUGUUAAAUAACCCUGAGUGGUCUGGUGGAGGAGGGCAGUGUUCAUAUUCUUGAGUUGGGUGGGUUCAAUACUCAUGUGUAGCAUUUUCCUUUGCAUUUUAUUUCUUUUAGUUAUUUUAUUUUUCUUUAGCAUUUUCAUUUAUUCUUAUGUUUAUGCCUUUAUUACACUCAUAUGUUCAUUUUGUUAAGUU
rnacentral:lncRNA from 1 species